UUCAAUUUUUAUGAAAGUGACGGGCGAUAUGUGCUCAUUUAAUUAACGUUUAAAAUUUAAAUUUUAUUUUUUUUAUUUUACUUUUAAAUCCUAUUUCUUUUUUAUUUUUUUUUCAUUUCAUUUUGAUAGAAUCAGUGUAUUCCACCCUCUCUUAAAUUUAAUUUUUGUCUUGAUUUGUUUUAUCAUAUUUUAAUUUUUUGUAUGAUGUUUUAAUCCCAAUCUGAACAAUGAUAUAAAAAAUAAAAAUUUAAGUUGUAUUAAUCGUGGGUUAUCGAUUACGAUGCAGAAUCCUCUAAAUGUUUUAAAUGCCGCCAUUUUUGAAAGUUUUUUCUUGAUUUAGAUAAUCUCUAGUUUUUUAAUAAAA
rnacentral:rRNA from 1 species